rnacentral:rRNA from 1 species
AACGAACGCUGGCGGCAUGCCUAACACAUGCAAGUCGAACGAGACCUUCGGGUCUAGUGGCGCACGGGUGCGUAACGCGUGGGAACCUGCACUUAGGUUCGGAAUCACUCCCUGAAAGGGGUGCUAAUACCGGAUAAUGUCUUCGGACCAAAGAUGUGUUGCCGUUGGAUGGGCGCGCGUUGGAUUAGCUAGUUGGUAGGGUAAAAGCCUACCAAGGCGACGAUCCAUAGCUGGUCUGAGAGGAUGAUCAGCCACACUGGGACUGAGACACGGCCCAGACUCCUACGGGAGGCAGCGGUAGGGAAUAUUAGACAAUGGGCGAAAGCCUGAUCCAGCAAUGCCGCGUGAGUGAUGAAGGCCUUAGGGUUGUAAAGCUCUUUUACCCGGGAUGAUAAUGACAGUACCGGGAGAAUAAGCUCCGGCUAACUCCGUG